GACAGGUGGUGGCAUGGUUGUCGUCAGCUCGUGUCGUGAGAUGUUGGGUUAAGUCCCGCAACGAGCGCAACCCCUAUUGUUAGUUGCCAUCAUUCAGUUGGGCACUCUAGCGAGACUGCCGGUAAUAAACCGGAGGAAGGUGGGGAUGACGUCAAAUCAUCAUGCCCCUUAUGACCUGGGCUACACACGUGCUACAAUGGUUGGUACAACGAGUUGCGAGUCGGUGACGGCGAGCUAAUCUCUUAAAGCCAAUCUCAGUUCGGAUUGUAGGCUGCAACUCGCCUACAUGAAGUCGGAAUCGCUAGUAAUCGCGGAUCAGCACGCCGCGGUGAAUACGUUCCCGGGCCUC
rnacentral:rRNA from 1 species